AUUGAACGCUGGCGGCAGGCCUAACACAUGCAAGUCGAGCGGCAGCGGAAAGUAGCUUGCUACUUUGCCGGCGAGCGGCGGACGGGUGAGUAAUGUCUGGGAAACUGCCUGAUGGAGGGGGAUAACUACUGGAAACGGUAGCUAAUACCGCAUGACCUCGAAAGAGCAAAGUGGGGGAUCUUCGGACCUCACGCCAUCGGAUGUGCCCAGAUGGGAUUAGCUAGUAGGUGAGGUAAUGGCUCACCUAGGCGACGAUCCCUAGCUGGUCUGAGAGGAUGACCAGCCACACUGGAACUGAGACACGGCCCAGACUCCUACGGGAGGCAGCAGUGGGGAAUAUUGCACAAUGGGCGCAAGCCUGAUGCAGCCAUGCCGCGUGUGUGAAGAAGGCCUUAGGGUUGUAAAGCACUUUCAGCGAGGAGGAAGGCAUCAUACUUAAUACGUGUGGUGAUUGACGUUACUCGCAGAAGAAGCACCGGCUAACUCCGUGCCAGCAGCCGCGGUAAUACGGAGGGUGCAAGCGUUAAUCGGAAUUACUGGGCGUAAAGCGCACGCAGGCGGUUUGUUAAGUCAGAUGUGAAAUCCCCGCGCUUAACGUGGGAACUGCAUUUGAAACUGGCAAGCUAGAGUCUUGUAGAGGGGGGUAGAAUUCCAGGUGUAGCGGUGAAAUGCGUAGAGAUCUGGAGGAAUACCGGUGGCGAAGGCGGCCCCCUGGACAAAGACUGACGCUCAGGUGCGAAAGCGUGGGGAGCAAACAGG
rnacentral:rRNA from 1 species